AAUACUUGCUGUUUAUGGAUGGGCACUAGUCUAAUGGUUGCGCUUCUCCCCGUUUUUAACGGGGAGAAGGGACUCGCGGGUUCGUCAUUGCAACCAAUAGGGGCACGUCCCCUCUCCCCGCGCGCGGGGAGAGGGCUAGGGUG
rnacentral:sRNA from 1 species